rnacentral:rRNA from 1 species
GGAUUCCCUAGUACGGCGAGUGAAGCGGGAAGAGCUCAAAUUUGAAAUCUGGCAGUCUUCGAUUGUCCGAGUUGUAAUCUAUAGAGGCGUUUUCCGUGCCGGACCGUGUCCAAGUCUCCUGGAAAGGAGUAUCAAAGAGGGUGAUAAUCCCGUACUUAACACGACCACCGGUGCUCUGUGAUACGUCUUCUACGAGUCGAGUUGUUUGGGAAUGCAGCUCAAAAUGGGUGGUGAAUUCCAUCUAAAGCUAAAUAUUGGCGAGAGACCGAUAGCGAACAAGUACCGUGAGGGAAAGAUGAAAAGCACUUUGGAAAGAGAGUUAAACAGUACGUGAAAUUGUUGAAAGGGAAACGAUUGAAGUCAGUCGUGUUCUUUGGAUUCAGCCAGUUCUGCUGGUCUACUUCCUUGGAACGGGUCAACAUCAGUUUUGUCCGGUGGAUAAAGGUAGUAGGAAUGUGACUUCUCCGGAAGUGUUAUAGCCUAUUAUCACAUACACUGGGUGAGACUGAGGACUGCAGCUCGCCUUUAUGGCCGGUCUUCGGACACGUUCGAGCUUAGGAUGUUGACAUAAUGGCUUUAAACGACCCGUCUUGAAA